rnacentral:rRNA from 1 species
CAGUCAGAGGCGAUGAAGGGCGUGCUAAUCUGCGAUAAGCGCCGGUAAGGUGAUAUGAACCGUUAUAACCGGCGAUACCCGAAUGGGGAAACCCAGUGUGAUUCGUCACACUAUCAUUAACUGAAUCCAUAGGUUAAUGAGGCGAACCGGGGGAACUGAAACAUCUAAGUACCCCGAGGAAAAGAAAUCAACCGAGAUUCCCCCAGUAGCGGCGAGCGAACGGGGAGGAGCCCAGAGCCUGAAUCAGCAUGUGUGUUAGUGGAAGCGUCUGGAAAGGCGCGCGAUACAGGGUGACAGCCCCGUACACAAAAGCGCAUGUGCUGUGAGCUCGAUGAGUAGGGCGGGACACGUGGUAUCCUGUCUGAAUAUGGGGGGACCAUCCUCCAAGGCUAAAUACUCCUGACUGACCGAUAGUGAACCAGUACCGUGAGGGAAAGGCGAAAAGAACCCCGGCGAGGGGAGUGAAAAAGAACCUGAAACCGUGUACGUACAAGCAGUGGGAGC